CGCACAUUGCGCCCUUUGGUAUUCCGAAGGGCAUGCCUGUUCGAGCGUCAUUAUCACCCCUCAAGCCCUCGGCUUGGUGUUGGACGGUUUGGUGGAGACCCCCCUUUGCGGGCUUCCACCCCUCCCAAAGACAAUGACGGCGGCCUCGUUGGACCCCCGGUACACUGAGUUCUUCACGGGACACGUAUCGGACACACGGGUUUGCGGGACACGGUCUGCCUCCCCUCAGGGAGAAUCUUUUUAUCAAGGUUGACCUCGGAUCAGGUAGGGAUACCCGCUGAACUUAA
rnacentral:misc_RNA from 1 species